rnacentral:rRNA from 1 species
GAUGAACGCUAGCUACAGGCUUAACACAUGCAAGUCGAGGGGUAACGAGAGGAAAGCUUGCUUUCCUUGUCGACGACCGGCGCACGGGUGAGUAACGCGUAUCCAACCUGCCCCCAACUAAGGAAUAACCUUGCGAAAGUAAGACUAAUACCUUAUAAUUUCCUCAGAUGUCAUCUGACGAGGAAUAAAGAUUUAUCGGUUGUGGAUGGGGAUGCGUCUGAUUAGCUUGUUGGCGGGGUAACGGCCCACCAAGGCAACGAUCAGUAGGGGUUCUGAGAGGAAGGUCCCCCAGAGUGGAACUGAGACACGGUCCAAACUCCUACGGGAGGCAGCAGUGAGGAAUAUUGGUCAAUGGGCGAAAGCCUGAACCAGCCAAGUAGCGUGCAGGAUGACGGCCCUAUGGGUUGUAAACUGCUUUUAUACAGGAAUAAAGUUAGCCACGUGUGGUUAUUUGUAGAUACUGUAUGAAUAAGGACCGGCUAAUUCCGUGCCAGCCGCCGCGGUAA